UACGAAGGGGGCUAGCGUUGCUCGGAAUCACUGGGCGUAAAGGGUGCGUAGGCGGGUCUUUAAGUCAGGGGUGAAAUCCUGGAGCUCAACUCCAGAACUGCCUUUGAUACUGAAGAUCUUGAGUUCGGGAGAGGUGAGUGGAACUGCGAGUGUAGAGGUGAAAUUCGUAGAUAUUCGCAAGAACACCAGUGGCGAAGGCGGCUCACUAAAGUACGAUUGACGCUGAGGCACGAAAGCGUGGGGAUCAAACAGG
rnacentral:rRNA from 1 species